CUUCGGACAAUAUACAAGGUGCUGCAUGGUUGUCGUCAGCUCGUGCCGUGAGGUGCGGGUUAAGUCCCAUAACGAGCGCAACCCCUAUCAUUAGUUGCCAUCAGGUCAAGCUGGGGACUCUAAUGAAACUGCCUACGCAAGUAGUGAGGAAGGUGGGGAUGACGUCAAGUCAUCAUGGCCCUUAUGUCCAGGGCGACACACGUGCUACAAUGGCCGGCACAACGGGAAGCGAGUUCGCGAGGACGAGCGGAUCCCUCAAAGCCGGUCGCAGUUCGGAUUGAAGUCUGCAACUCGACUUCAUGAAGCUGGAAUCGCUAGUAAUCGCGCAUCAGCCAUGGCGCGGUGAAUACGUUCCCGGGCCUU
rnacentral:rRNA from 1 species